AUACGGAGGACGCGAGCGUUAUCCGGAUUCAUUGGGUUUAAAGGGUGCGCAGGCGGCCGUGCAAGUCAGCGGUGAAAGCCCGGGGCUCAACCCCGGAAGUGCCGUUGAUACUGCGUGGCUGGGAUGCGGUCGAGGCGGGCGGAACGUGGGGUGGUGCGGUGAAAUGCGUAGAUAUGCCACAGAACGCCGAUAGCGGAGGCAGCUCGCCAGGCCUGCAUUGACGCUCGGGCACGAAAGCGUGGGGAUCGAACAGGAUUAGAUACCCUGGUAGUCCACGCCGUAAACGAUGGGCGCUCGUCGUCGGCGGCAGACAGUCGGCGGCCAAGCGAAAGUGAUAAGCGCCCCACCUGGGGAGUACGGUCGCAAGGCUGAAACUCAAAUGAAUUGACGGGG
rnacentral:rRNA from 1 species